rnacentral:lncRNA from 1 species
UCAAAUCCACUGAAAUGUGCUCUACAUUCCCUUUGGGGGAGACAGUAGGAAAUAUUUUCAAAAUGAUGAUGGUCCAAGCUCUGCUCUCAUUUACAUUGAUUCCAGUCUGAUUCAGUGGCAUGUUACACUGGCGAAACUGAAAGCCAAGUUUUUCCCUUGUACACAGGUACAACUGAGGGCAGGUUUUAACGUGGUCUCUUAGGUGAGGAAAUAAAAAGUUGUUUUUUGCUUAGCUUUAACCAGCUUUUAAUAAGAAAAGAAGACUGAACUAAGGAAAAGAGAAAAAUAAGCUACAUGUCAGCUCCUGGUACUUCAGAGAGACCAGCAAGCAGUAUUUUAAAUACUGCAGCCUCAUUUCUUGAGGUUUUAUUUCCUGGGAUGUUAUUUGUGGAGCAGUGGAUUUACUUCUGGAUUUAUAUGGAUUUACCUCUGAGUCUUUGAUUCCACUAGGACACAUCAUGGCUGCAACUCUGCAGGGAAAAAAAAAACACCAAUGGGCCCAAUGGAGUAGGAGCCUGUGAGAUUUAUAAGUGCUUUGUGUCCUUUUAUUGAAUAAUAAAGACUUUCCCUUUCUGGCAGAACACAGGAAAUCAAAUCUGUUCCCUUUACUUCAGGGCAUAUAGUCAUAAGUCGUCUUUUGUCUGUAAAGAUGAACCUCAGCUACUUGUAACAAGAAGCCAGCUUCUAAAGCAAACUCAUUUUGUUUUACCUUUGCUCCUUUGGAAUCCCAUCUGAAGCCCCCUCUCUCCAUACUUGGCAGCUACCUCAACAUUUCUUUGGUGGAGCAGAUUCUCUUCCAUUCAUCCAGUGAACAAGCGUAAUUCCUCUUCUGCCCAUCUGGGUGUGGAACACAUUCAUCUCAUCACAGGAACUGAUGUUGAAAACAGAGUGAGAAGCCAUGCCAGGCAGGAUGUGAAAAGCUGUACAAUUUCCAAAAAUAAUCUGCAGUUUCCUUGGAAAACACUGAGCAGGCCUUCUCAGGCUUAACUAGGACAGCUGAUGAGAUUGGACAAUGGUGGCUCUAAACCAGAAGCAAAUGGAAUCCCUGAAGGUGAACACAAAGAGCUGGCACGUGUGAGAUUCUCUGCACAGGCCUGUCCCACUGAGUAUUGCUGUUCCACUGUGUGCUUUGGAAACUGUGACUCUGUAAGCAAUUAG